GGUAGAGUGGCCGAGUGGUAAAGGCGACAGAUUUAGGUUUACAUAAGCAGCCUCUCUGUUGGGAAACCGCGCGAGUUCGAAUCUCGUCUCUAUCA